rnacentral:rRNA from 1 species
GAUGAACGCUGGCGGCGUGCCUAAUACAUGCAAGUCGAGCGACAGCACGAUAAGCUUUCUUCUCUGCUGUUAGCGGCUGACGGGUGAGUAACACGUGGAUAACCUACCUAUAUGACUGGGGUAAUUUCGGGAAACCGGUGCUACUACCGGCUCAUAUUUUGUACCGCAUGGUUCAAAAGUGAAUGACGGUCUUGCUGUCACUUAUAGCUGGUUCCGCGUUGCAUUUGCUAGUUGGUAAGGUAACGGCUUACCAAGGCAACGAUGCAUAGCCGACCUGAGAGGGUGAUCGGCCACACUGGAACUGAGACACGGUCCAGACUCCUACGGGAGGCAGCAGUAGGGAAUCUUCGGCAAUGGGCGAAAGCCUGACGGAGCAACGCCGCGUGAGUGAUGAAGGUCUUCGGGUCGUAAAACUCUUUUAUUAGGGAAGAAAAGAUGUGGAAUUAACUGUGCAUAUCUUGACGGUACCUAAUCAGAAAGCAACGGCUAACUUCGUG